AUUGAACGCUGGCGGCAUGCUUUACACAUGCAAGUCGAACGGUAACAGGCCGCAAGGUGCUGACGAGUGGCGAACGGGUGAGUAAUGCAUCGGAACGUGCCCAGUCGUGGGGGAUAACGCAGCGAAAGCUGUGCUAAUACCGCAUACGAUCUAUGGAUGAAAGCGGGGGACCGUAAGGCCUCGCGCGAUUGGAGCGGCUGAUGUCAGAUUGGGUAGUUGGUGGGGUAAAGGCCUACCAAGGCGACGAUCUGUAGCUGGUCUGAGAGGACGACCAGCCACACUGGGACUGAGACACGGCCCAGACUCCUACGGGAGGCAGCAGUGGGGAAUUUUGGACAAUGGGCGCAAGCCUGAUCCAGCAAUGCCGCGUGCAGGAAGAAGGCCUUCGGGUUGUAAACUGCUUUUGUACGGAACGAAACGGUCUGGGUUAAUACCCUGGGCUAAUGACGGUACCGUAAGAAUAAGCACCGGCUAACUACGUGCCAGCCGCCGCAGUAACAC
rnacentral:rRNA from 1 species